rnacentral:rRNA from 1 species
AGUGAACGCUGGCGGUAGGCCUAACACAUGCAAGUCGAACGGCAGCACAGUAAGAGCUUGCUCUUACGGGUGGCGAGUGGCGGACGGGUGAGGAAUACAUCGGAAUCUACUUUUUCGUGGGGGAUAACGUAGGGAAACUUACGCUAAUACCGCAUACGACCUACGGGUGAAAGCAGGGGAUCUUCGGACCUUUCGCGAUUGAAUGAGCCGAUGUCGGAUUAGCUAGUUGGCGGGGUAAAGGCCCACCAAGGCGACGAUCCGUAGCUGGUCUGAGAGGAUGAUCAGCCACACUGGAACUGAGACACGGUCCAGACUCCUACGGGAGGCAGCAGUGGGGAAUAUUGGACAAUGGGCGCAAGCCUGAUCCAGCCAUACCGCGUGGGUGAAGAAGGCCUUCGGGUUGUAAAGACCUUUUGUUGGGAAAGAAAAGCAGCAGGUUAAUACCCCGCUGUUCUGACGGUACCCAAAGAAUAAGCACCGGCUAACUUCGUG